ACAUAGUGUGCACCACGUUUAUGGCAGGAUUAUCGCACCGAAUUAUUCACAAUCAUAUCAUUUACUGCUUUAUGUUUUCCUUAGAAAACCAUUGAAAGCUGGCAUUUUCUUAAUUUGAAUAAGCCUACUGAAAACGGGAAUUUCUGCAGCCCAGAAGCGAAAAUAUCCGGCACCGCCCUUCUUUUUCAGUCCUUCACUUGUUUUCAUUAUAUGACACUGAACUGAUUCCAGCGCAGUGAGAAAAAGCCUGUACUCAGGUCUGUACAUCUGUACACAAGGCUCCAUUAUUUCACUUAUCUCCAAGUACUUCAGGUUUUCUGUUAAGAAGCUCCAGUUCUGAAUCAUGCCGUGCACACAAAGGUUGGUGGCCAACACACAGGGAAUUUCUGGUAAAAAAAAUAAGGUGCCAAAUAAUCCACAGCAAA